rnacentral:rRNA from 1 species
UACGAAGGGUGCAAGCGUUAAUCGGAAUUACUGGGCGUAAAGCGUGCGUAGGUGGUUUGUUAAGUCUGCUGUGAAAGCCCUGGGCUCAACCUGGGAAUGGCGGUGGAUACUGACAAGCUAGAGUGCGGUAGAGGAGGGUGGAAUUCCCGGUGUAGCGGUGAAAUGCGUAGAGAUCGGGAGGAACAUCAGUGGCGAAGGCGGCCCUCUGGACCAGCACUGACGCUGAGGCACGAAAGCGUGGGGAGCAAACAGGG